rnacentral:rRNA from 1 species
UGGCGGACUGGCGAGUAACACGUAAGCAACCUGCCUACAAGAGGGGAAUAACAUUGAGAAAUCAAUGCUAAUACCGCAUAAGCUGUUAGUACCGCAUGAUACAGACAGAAAAGGAGUAAUCCGCUUGUAGAUGGGCUUGCGUCUGAUUAGCUAGUUGGUGAGGUAAUGGCUCACCAAGGCUGCGAUCAGUAGCCGGACUGAGAGGUUGAACGGCCACAUUGGGACUGAGAUACGGCCCAGACUCCUACGGGAGGCAGCAGUCGGGAAUAUUGCGCAAUGGAGGAAACUCUGACGCAGUGACGCCGCGUAUAGGAAGAAGGUUUUCGGAUUGUAAACUAUUGUCGUUAGGGAAGAAAAAGACAGUACCUAAGGAGGAAGCCCCGGCUAACUAUGUGCCAGCAGCCGCGGUAAUACAUAGGGGGCAAGCGUUAUCCGGAAUUAUUGGGUGUA